UGGGGAAUUUUGGACAAUGGGCGAAAGCCUGAUCCAGCAAUGCCGCGUGUGUGAAGAAGGCCUUCGGGUUGUAAAGCACUUUUGUCCGGAAAGAAAUCCUUGGCUCUAAUACAGUCGGGGGAUGACGGUACCGGAAGAAUAAGCACCGGCUAACUACGUGCCAGCAGCCGCGGUAAUACGUAGGGUGCAAGCGUUAAUCGGAAUUACUGGGCGUAAAACGUGCGCAGGCGGUUUGCUAAGACCGAUGUGAAAUCCCCGGGCUCAACCUGGGGAACUGCAUUGGUGACUGGCAGGCUAGAGUAUGGCAGAGGGGGGUAGAAUUCCACGUGUAGCAGUGAAAUGCGUAGAGAUGUGGAGGAAUACCGAUGGCGAAGGCAGCCCCCUGGGCCAAUACUGACGCUCAUGCACGAAAGCGUGGGGGAGCAAAACAGGAUUAGAUACCCUGGUAGUCCACGCCCUAAACGAUGUCAACUAGUUGUUGGGGAUUCAUUUCCUUAGUAACGUAGCUAACGCGUGAAGUUGACCGCCU
rnacentral:rRNA from 1 species